AUGAUGCGGAAUCUACCACAAGCCGUAGCGAUUGAUGAUCUGCGCCAUGAGGAGGUUGUAGCCCGUCUCGGUGAGGUGGUAGGUGUCCCAGAAGAGGAACUUGGUCGGGUCGCUGCAGGCGUGCGCCGUGUACCUGUUGCAGGUGAGCGUCACCUCGAACAGGCCGGUGCCGCAGCAGCCGCGGUCGGACACCUGGAAGCCGUAGGCGGCCGGGCGCUGGAUCAUGUCCAGCAGCGGCGUGUAGAGGUCGAUGUACUUGAGCACCGACCCCGGGAGCAGCGCCGUGCCGUUGAGCCGUCGGAGCUCCUUCUCCAGCGCCGCGUUGUACAGCACGGCCGCCUGGUUGUACAGGGACACGCACGCCCUCUCCUCGCCGCCGGCGUUGGUCCGCUGCGACGGCACGCACCCGAUGGGCGGGGCGCCGGCGACGCUCACCCGCCGCGCGCCCAGCCCGUGCAGCUUCUGGAUGAAGGCCGAGGCGCACUGCACGAUGAACUCGAUGUAGGACUCGAGGUCGUAGUCUCGCCGGAGCGGCGUCGUGAAGUAGGUGUUGGCCAGGUCGUCGGUGCCGGUCACCACCAGGUAGAGGCUCGUCGAGACGAUGUCGGCGGCUCGCUGCGCGCCGGCGAUGCGGCCGAUCUUACCCUUGUACUCCUUGAACAGCUCCAGCUGGUCGUCCAUGCUCAGAACCGACUGAUGAAAUGCCACGGUGGAAUGAGUUUAUUUCAUCUUGGAAGUGGAGAUAAAACGAUGUUCCUUCCCUGGGCAGGGCUGGACGCUCACCACGAUCUCGGCCGUGAGGGGGUCGAAGCCGCAGCCACCGGAGGCGAAGCUGACGCCGGUGAGGAGGUCCGAGUCGCUGAGCUCCGUGCCGAGGUACGCCGGCACGUACUGCUUCAGGCCCAUCCGGGCGGCUGGCAGGAUCAAAUGCCAACCAUCAGUUUCAAUGCCUGCCAUGCCAUGCCAUGCAUGCUUGAACCUUAUGAUAUACCCAUACCGAGGAUGUCGCCGACGAUCUUGCCGUUGCUGAACCUGCCGGUGGCGUUGUGGGCGGGGAAGUCCUGGCCGUAG
rnacentral:rRNA from 1 species